rnacentral:rRNA from 1 species
UCUGGUUGAUCCUGCCAGAGGUUACUGCUAUCGAGGUUCGACUAAGCCAUGCGAGUCGAAUGUAGCAAUACAUGGCGUACUGCUCAGUAACACGUGGACAACCUGCCCUUAGGUUGGGUAUAAACCCGGGAAACUGGGUAUAAUCCCCUAUAAGUCUCGGCUGCUGGAAUGCACCGAGAUUAAAAGCUCCGGCGCCUAAGGAUGGGUCUGCGGCCUAUCAGGUAGUAGUGGGUGUAGCGUACCUACUAGCCUACGACGGGUACGGGUUGUGAGAGCAAGAGCCCGGAGAUGGAUUCUGAGACACGAAUCCAGGCCCUACGGGGUGCAGCAGGCGCGAAAACUUUACAAUGCUGGCAACAGCGAUAAGGGAACCUCGAGUGCCAGGUUACAAAUCUGGCUGUCAAGAUGCCUAAAAAGCAUUUCAUAGCAAGGGCCGGGCAAGACCGGUGCCAGCCGCCGCGGUAACACCGGCGGCUCGAGUGGUAACCGUUAUUAUUGGGUCUAAAGGGUCUGUAGCCGGCCGGAUAAGUCUCUUGAGAAAUCUGGCAGCUUAACUGUCAGGCUUUCAGGAGAUACUGUCUGGCUCGAGGCCGGGAGAGGUGAGAGGUACUUCAGGGGUAGGGGUGGAAUCUUGUAAUCCUUGAAGGACCACCAGUGG